CAGUGCGUGUGCGCGUUCAUGUGUGCGCGUUCAUGUGUGUGCGCGCAUCCCGGGCUGCCUGCGCUUUUUUCGGGGUAACCCUUCCUCUGCCGCCCCGUUCCCCGCUAAGCCGCUGCCCUGCCCUGCCAAGCCCACGCAAAGGCAGGACUAUUUUAACACCGAGAAGCACCCGGGCGAUAGGAUACAGCCCUCCAAGGCUCUGCAUACUUUUCAAAGCUCUUAUUUGAGGAUGAUUUAUAUCCCUUUCCCGAAGCUGAUAGACGAGCGGUGCAUUUUUUCGUGGAAAAAAAAAAAUAGCCCCCCUUAUAAAUCUUUCUCGUCCUCUGUCCAUCCGUCCCUUCUUUCUCCACGUUCCCCGAUAUUAGCAACCUGUCGCCGACACACAGAGCUUUGUCGAUCCCAGCCAGGCAUUUCUGCUCCCUGUGCCCCCAAAUCACGGGGGAUACUACAAACUCCUGCUGCCUUGCCCCAGAGGGGCUAGGGGGGCUCACGCCCGGCCCCCUCCUGCCCUUGGCCCCUCACCCAGCCCAUGCUUCACAUCAGAGACACUCGAGACACACUUCGGUCAAAUCAAGAGGGUGUCAAGCCAAGGAGAUGACUCGACCAGCCGUUACCUGCUCCUGCGGAGGUGGGUCCUCCUCGCUUGGUCACCCAAAGCCCACCGGGUCCGGCAGGUUGAAAGGGACUAAAGUGACCGAAGCGCUGGGCUCCGGCAUGGUAUGAUUUUAGGGAUCACUGCCAAGGUCUCUGCUUUCCAUAGCUGCCAACGGACACCAUCACGCAAGGUUUCUCUCAAGGAAAGGAGGAAGGAAAUUGUCUUGCCAAGCUGCUCGUCCAGCCGGUCACUUGACCCCGUCCCCCACCGAUGACACGGAGGAACACCCCGGGAAAGCGGUUAAACGCCUCGGAAUUCCCUUGCCUUCCUCUCCCAGCGGCGGCUGGGGCGCAGCGCGGCGGAGCGCCCUCACGGCCGCGCCGGCCCCGCUCCCCGCCGGCCGCCCGAGCGGCUCCGCUGCGCAGCGAGGGGGACCGGUCCCAGCCGCGGGGCUGCGGCGCGCCCAGCCUCGGGCAUAGUCUUCCUUAAACUUUGCCUAGCGAGCGAGUCAGCGGCUUAACCCUUUGCAGCCCUUGCUCUCGCCCGGCCGCCGAGCCCGCAGGCCUGGGGAUGCGCUGGUGCGAGGGGCAGCGCAGCCGGCUGCUCGCCCGGCGGCUUUCAGUUACGUGCCAUUCGCUAGUCUUGAUUUCAUUUCAUUUUUUUUUUUUUUUUUCAGUUGAAAUAAAUCACAACCGCCAACUGGGGAGCAGUUGGAGAGCUGAACACUGCUUUCUGGAUAGGGGCCGGAGGAAAAAAAAAAAAAAAAAAGAAAAAAAAAAAGUCCUCUCGGCAAAGCAGCUUUCCUGGGGACUCACCUGUGGUCCCUACUUUGUCACCGAAUCUGGUAUGGAAACUGUCACACUCAUGGCACGGAUCCCUCGCACACACAUACACAGAGCUUCUACACCUUCCUCAGCAUGGUGUGGCUGAAAGUACAGCUCCGCAUGAGCUAUUUCGCUCAGACCUCCGGAUUCAGCACGUUUACAGGUUAUUAAUAACAGCAGAGAAAGGAGCAAGCGAGAAAGAAACAUAUUUCCAUGGAAAAAAAAAUAGAAAAAAAAAACCCAACAACAAACCAACAAGAAAGCCUUUUUCACACAUGCACUUUGUAGUCAAAGGAAAUAUUUACCACCAGCAAACUCCAGCAUGUCAGAACAUGUUUCCUUCGAAGCAGAAGAGAGCUUAAAAAUGAGAGAAAAAGCAUGUGCAAUUCAAAGAUGAAAUGAAGUGCAUGAAAGCUUUCCAAACUCAGCACCACCAGCCUGGAGCCUGAUGUCAAGACAACGCUGGAGCGCUGCAACACAAAGAUGCGGAAGGGGAAAGAAGGAAACUAGCAAACUCCAUUGUUUUUUGUGGUUGUUUUUUUUUUUUUUUUAAUAUUCUUUUUUAUAUAUUUUCAGGAAAUUAUGAUGUUUGCCACCCUUCCCUGCACACACCCCCCACACACCCCGAAUAAAAACAAAAUAAGGGGGACAAACACAUACGACCACCUCUAAGUGCAGCUGAACACUGAGAGCCUGGAGGUGGGCUGGGCUGCCGGGACCUCCUUCCAGCGCCCCGGGGGUCACCCCGCGGGGAGGACACGGAGGCAAUGGCCCCUGCGGGCCAAGGGGACUCUGGCCUCCUGAGCUGGGUAAGGUAAGGCUGGCCGAGGAAGGAGAAGAACCCUACAAUAAGCCAAAGAGCAGGGAAAAAAAAAAAUAAACAAACAAAAAAACCCAAACCAAACCUCCUCCCACCCACAUUUUUAGGUUUGGAAUUUAAGAAGAGGCAAAUAGACCUAUUUGAAAGAAUACCCCCCUCCCCCCCCCCAAAAAAAAAGAAAAAAAGCCAAACAAAAAGAACCCCUUUAGAUAUUGCAUCUAGCCUCAUCCCGUUUGUAACGUUGGGGGGCAGAAGCGGGGAGGUGGGCGCAGCCGCCGGGCUGAGGCCGGCGGGCAGGCGGGCGCGCAGCGGGGCUCCGCGGGCGCGGAGCGGGGCGGGCUGCAGCGCCGGCGGCGCGGCGCAGGGGGCAGCAGAGCCCAGCGCUGGGCGACCGGGACACCCCCCCCCCCACCACCACCCCCGAUGGCUCGGGCUGCACACAACAGCUUCCCCCCCACCCCCGAUAUAAGUGUGUGUGUGUGUUAGCAAACCGCCCGGCGUGGGGAAAGGCAGCCGAAAAGGCGGUACAGCGAGGGCGCUCCCGCACGGGCUGGGGGCACGCAGGGUGGCCAGCCCGCGGUGGUGGUCCUCCGAGCCGCAACGCCACCUCACUUAUUUGAAACAGAAUGUGAAAUGGGGUAACAUUAAGGAAGAUUAUAAAAAUCAGAGUCUUUUCCAUAAAUUCUUUUUUUUUUUUUUUUUUUUUUUUUACCCCCAGCUGUAUCGUUAAAGUGAUUUCUGCAGCUGCAGGGGAGCCGGGAAAAGGCACUGGAAGUGAUUCUGUAAUGGGGGGGGGGGGGGGGGGGCUGGUUGGUCUGAAACGUACUGAGUGAUGCCCAGGUCUUGUCAAUCAUGUCAAAUUGGGGGUCAGGCCUUAAAUUCGUGCAGCUGAUGGAAGGGGGGGGGGGGGGGGGGGGCGGCAAUGACAAGGUGAAUUCUUCAUCAAAUUUGGGAAAAUCAGCUGCUUUAAAAAAGCUUUGAGGAAGGGAAGGGAAGGAAAAAAGGAAGGGAAAGGGGCAUUUAGAAUAGCAGACAAAUGAGUUAUGAAGAUAUUGUUAUAUUGUACUGAAUUCUAGACAAGAUGAAGUUAUGAAUGUGUUUCUCUUCACUGCAAUCAAACAAGUGAAGCACUUGAGCUAGAACUACAUUAGACCAGGGAACACCAACACCCCAUGUCUCUUUUCUCUGGGCUCUCACUUCUGUGGCAAGCUGAAAAGCAAAUUACCAUACUGGUUCUGAAACAGCCUUUGGCAGAGUUUGUGAUAUGACUCAAAUGGUAAAUUUCUACUAUUUUGGAAAGUAGGGAUUGGAUUUGAUUUUCAAAUAGAAUUAAUAAUAAAACUUAAGUAUGCCAUUA